ACGCUGNCGGCGNGCUUAACACAUGCAAGUCGAACGGUNGAANANNNGAGCUUGNUCCUNUGGAUCAGUGGCGAACGGGUGAGUAACACGUGAGUAACCUGCCCUUGACUCUGGGAUAACNUCGGGAAACCGNANGNUAAUNCCGGAUACGACCNUCGGAGGCAUCUCCAGGGGGUGGAAAGAACUUCGGUCANGGAUGGACUCGCGGCCUAUCAGGUAGUUGGUGAGGUAACGGCUCACCAANCCGANNACGGGUAGCCGGCCUGANAGGGNGNACCGGCCACACUGGGANUGGACACGGNCCANACUCCUACGGGAGGCANCAGUGGGGAAUAUUGCACAAUGGGCGCAAGCCUGAUGCAGCNACGCCGCGUGAGGGAAGACGGCCUUCGGGUUGUAAACCUCUUUUAGUAGGGAAGAAGCGAAAGUGACGGUACCUGCAGAANAAGCACCGGCUAACUACGUGCCAGCAGCCGCGGUAAUACAGUAGGGGGCAAGCGUUGUCCGGAAUUAUUGGGCGUAAAGAGCUCGUAGGCGGUUUGUCGCGUCUGCUGUGAAAACCCGAGGCUCAACCUCGGGCCUGCAGUGGGUACGGGCAGACUAGAGUGCGGUAGGGGAGANUGGAAUUCCUGGUGUAGCGGUGGAAUGCGCAGAUAUCAGGAGGAACACCGAUGGCGAAGGCAGAUCUUUGGGCCGUNACUGACGCUGAGGAGCGAAAGCGUGGGGAGCGAACAGGAUUANAUNCCCUGGUAGUCCACNCCGUAAACGUUGGGAACUAGAUGUGGGGNCCAUUCCACGGUCUCCGUGUCGCAGCUAACGCAUUAAGUUCCCCGCCUGGGGACGUACGGCCGCAANGNUAAAACUCAAAUGAAUUGACGGGGGCCCGCACAAGCGGCGGAGCAUGCGGAUUAAUUCGAUGCAACGCGAAGAACCUUACCAAGGCUUGACAUAUACCGGAANCGGCUGGAAACAGUCGCCCCGCAAGGUCGGUAUACAGGUGGUGCAUGGUUGUCGUCAGCUCGUGUCGUGAGAUNNUGGGUUAAGUCCCGCAACGAGCGCAACCCUCGUUCUAUGUUGCCAGCACGUNAUGGUGGGAACUCAUAGGAGACUGNCGGGGUCAACUCGGAGGAAGGNGGGGAUGACGUCAAAUCNUCNUGCCCCUUAUGUCUUGGGNUUCNNNCAUGCUACAAUGGCCGGUACAAAGGGNUGCAAUACCGUAAGGUAGGAGCGAAUCCCAAAAAGCCGGUCUCANUNUCGGAUUGNNGGUNUGCAACUNNNCCUCAUGAAGUCGGAGUCNCUAGUAAUNGCAGAUCNANCAACGCNNCGGUGAAUACGUUCCCGGGCCUUGUACACNCCGCCCGUCAAGUCAUGAAAGUCGGUAANCACCCGNAAGCCGGUGGCCUNNACCCUUGUGGAANGAGCCGUNCGAAGGUG
rnacentral:rRNA from 1 species